UGAGUACGAGCUACUACGGCAGCGAAGUGGGUGAUGUCAAGCUUCCAAGAAAAGCCCUAUACCCGUUAAGGCAUGACGGCCUGUACCCGAAACCGACACAGGUGGGGUGGUGGAGAAUACCGUGGGGCGCGAGAUAACUCUCUCUAAGGAACUCGGCAAAAUGGCCCCGUAACUUCGGGAGAAGGGGUGCCACCGCAAGGUGGUCGCAGUGAAGAGGCCCAGGCGCCUGUUUACCAAAAACACAGGUCUCCGCUAAGUCGCAAGACGAUGUAUGGGGGCUGACGCCUGCCCAGUGCCGGAAGGUUAAGGAAGCUGGUCAGCGCAAGCGAAGCUAGCGACUGAAGCCCCGGUGAACGGCGGCCGUAACUAUAACGGUCCUAAGGUAGCGAAAUUCCUUGUCGGGUAAGUUCCGACCCGCACGAAAGGCGUAACGAUCUGGGCGCUGUCUCGGAGUGAGGCUCGGCGAAAUAGAAUUGUCUGUGAAGAUGCGGACUACGUGCACCCGGACAGAAAGACCCUAUGAAGCUUUACUGUAGCUUGGUAUUGUGCCCGGGCUCUGAAUGCGCAGGAUAGGUGGGAGGCUUUGAUCCAUUGCUUGUGGGUAAUGGUGAGCCACAGGUGAGAUACCACUCUUUCAGAGCUAGGGUUCUAACGGUCACCCGUUAUCCGGGGACCGGACAGUAUCAGGUGGGCAGUUUGACUGGGGCGGUCGCCUCCUAAAAGGUAACGGAGGCGCGCAAAGGUUCCCUCAGGCUGGUUGGGAAUCAGCCGACGAGUGUAAAGGCAGAAGGGAGCUUGACUGUGGGACCUACAAGUCGAACAGGGACGAAAGUCGGCCUUAGUGAUCCGACGGUUCUGAGUGGAAGGGCCGUCGCUCAACGGAUAAAAGUUACUCUAGGAUAACAGGCUGAUCUCCCCCAAGAGUCACAUCGACGGGGAGGUUUGGCACCUCGAUGUCGGCUCAUCGCAACCUGGGGCUGAAGUCGGUCCCAAGGGUUGGGCUGUUCGCCCAUUAAAGCGGUACGCGAGCUGGGUUCAGAACGUCGUGAGACAGUUCGGUCCAUAUCCGGUGCACGCGCAGGAACAUUGAGAGGAUUUCUCCCUAGUACGAGAGGACCGGGAGGAACGCACCUCUGGUGUACCAGUAUCGUACCAACGGUAAACGCUGGGUAGCCAUGUGCGGAGCGGAUAACCGCUGAAAGCAUCUAAGUGGGAAGCCCACCUCAAGAUGAGUGUUCCCAUGGCAUAAGCCAGUAAGGUCACGGGAAGAACACCCGUUGAUAGGCUCUACGUGGAAGCGUGGCAACUCGUGAAGCGGAGGAGUACUAAUAGACCGAGGGCUUGACC
rnacentral:rRNA from 1 species